rnacentral:tRNA from 1 species
GUUUUUAUAGCUUAAAUAUAGAGUUUAAUUUUGAAAAAAUUAGGGUGAUAUAAAAUUUGAAAAUA